rnacentral:rRNA from 1 species
CCUACGGGAGGCAGCAGUGGGGAAUAUUGGACAAUGGGCGAAAGCCUGAUCCAGCCAUGCCGCGUGUGUGAAGAAGGUCUUCGGAUUGUAAAGCACUUUAAGUUGGGAGGAAGGGCAGUAAGUUAAUACCUUGCUGUUUUGACGUUACCGACAGAAUAAGCACCG